GAGAUUAGCCGACCCUUCCUCUGGUCCCGGUCAGUUCUUCCUAGGACCUGACAGUGGUUUACACGGCGUAACCGCUUCAUCCCACACGCGGCAUUGCUCCGUCACGCUUUCGCGCAUUGCGGAAGAUUCGUUA
rnacentral:rRNA from 1 species